rnacentral:rRNA from 1 species
UACGUAGGGCGCAAGCGUUGUCCGGAAUUAUUGGGCGUAAAGAGCUCGUAGGCGGUUUGUCGCGUCUGUCGUGAAAGCUUGGGGCUUAACCCCAAGUCUGCGGUGGAUACGGGCAGACUAGAGGCAGGUAGGGGAGAACGGAAUUCCCGGUGUAGCGGUGAAAUGCGCAGAUAUCGGGAGGAACACCGGUGGCGAAGGCGGUUCUCUGGGCCAACACUGACGCUCAGGCACGAAAGCGUGGGGAGCAAACAGG